GACGAACGCUGGCGGCGUGCUUAACACAUGCAAGUCGAACGGAAAGGCCCUGCUUUUGUGGGGUGCUCGAGUGGCGAACGGGUGAGUAACACGUGAGUAACCUGCCCUUGACUUUGGGAUAACUUCAGGAAACUGGGGCUAAUACCGGAUAGGAGCUCCUGCUGCAUGGUGGGGGUUGGAAAGUUUCGGCGGUUGGGGAUGGACUCGCGGCUUAUCAGCUUGUUGGUGGGGUAGUGGCUUACCAAGGCUUUGACGAGUAGCCGGCCUGAGAGGGUGACCGGCCACAUUGGGACUGAGAUACGGCCCAGGCGCAUACGGGAGGCAGCAGUGGGGAAUAGUGCAAAAUGGGCGGAAGGCUGAUGCAGCAACGCCGCGUGGGGGAUGACGGCCUUCGGGUUGUAAACCGCUUUCGCUUGUGACGAAGCGUGAGUGACGGUAAUGGAUAAAGAAGCACCGGCUAACUACGU
rnacentral:rRNA from 1 species